rnacentral:rRNA from 1 species
AUUGAACGCUGGCGGCAUGCCUUACACAUGCAAGUCGAACGGUAACAGGUCUUCGGAUGCUGACGAGUGGCGAACGGGUGAGUAAUACAUCGGAACGUGCCCGAUCGUGGGGGAUAACGAGGCGAAAGCUUUGCUAAUACCGCAUACGAUCUACGGAUGAAAGCGGGGGAUCUUCGGACCUCGCGCGGACGGAGCGGCCGAUGGCAGAUUAGGUAGUUGGUGGGAUAAAAGCUUACCAAGCCGACGAUCUGUAGCUGGUCUGAGAGGAUGAUCCGCCACACUGGGACUGAGACACGGCCCAGACUCCUACGGGAGGCAGCAGUGGGGAAUUUUGGACAAUGGGCGAAAGCCUGAUCCAGCCAUGCCGCGUGCAGGAUGAAGGCCUUCGGGUUGUAAACUGCUUUUGUACGGAACGAAAAGCCUCUUUCUAAUAAAGAGGGGUCAUGACGGUACCGUAAGAAUAAGCACCGGCUAACUACGUG